GGGUUGUGAGGUUAAGCGACUAAGCGUACACGGUGGAUGCCCUGGCAGUCAGAGGCGAUGAAGGACGUGCUAAUCUGCGAAAAGCGUCGGUAAGGUGAUAUGAACCGUUAUAACCGGCGAUGUCCGAAUGGGGAAACCCAGUGCAAUUCGUUGCACUAUCGUUAACUGAAUACAUAGGUUAACGAGGCGAACCGGGGGAACUGAAACAUCUAAGUACCCCGAGGAAAAGAAAUCAACCGAGAUUCCCCCAGUAGCGGCGAGCGAACGGGGAGCAGCCCAGAGUCUGAAUCAGCUUGUGUGUUAGUGGAACGGUCUGGAAAGUCCGACGGUACAGGGUGAUAGUCCCGUACACCAAAAUGCACAGGCUGUGAACUCGAAGAGUAGGGCGGGACACGUGGUAUCCUGUCUGAAUAUGGGGGGACCAUCCUCCAAGGCUAAAUACUCCUGACUGACCGAUAGUGAACCAGUACCGUGAGGGAAAGGCGAAAAGAACCCCGGCGAGGGGAGUGAAAAAGAACCUGAAACCGUGUACGUACAAGCAGUGGGAGCACCUUCGGGUGUGACUGCGUACCUUUUGUAUAAUGGGUCAGCGACUUAUAUUCUGUAGCAAGGUUAACCGUAUAGGGGAGCCGCAGGGAAACCGAGUCUUAACUGGGCGUUAAGUUGCAGGGUAUAGACCCGAAACCCGGUGAUCUAGCCAUGGGCAGGUUGAAGGUUGGGUAACACUAACUGGAGGACCGAACCGACUAAUGUUGAAAAAUUAGCGGAUGACUUGUGGCUGGGGGUGAAAGGCCAAUCAAACCGGGAGAUAGCUGGUUCUCCCCGAAAGCUAUUUAGGUAGCGCCUCGUGAACUCAUCUUCGGGGGUAGAGCACUGUUUCGGCUAGGGGGUCAUCCCGACUUACCAACCCGAUGCAAACUACGAAUACCGAAGAAUGUUAUCACGGGAGACACACGGCGGGUGCUAACGUCCGUCGUGAAGAGGGAAACAACCCAGACCGCCAGCUAAGGUCCCAAAGUCAUGGUUAAGUGGGAAACGAUGUGGGAAGGCACAGACAGCCAGGAUGUUGGCUUAGAAGCAGCCAUCAUUUAAAGAAAGCGUAAUAGCUCACUGGUCGAGUCGGCCUGCGCGGAAGAUGUAACGGGGCUAAACCAUGCACCGAAGCUGCGGCAGCGACACUAUGUGUUGUUGGGUAGGGGAGCGUUCUGUAAGCCUGCGAAGGUGUGCUGUGAGGCAUGCUGGAGGUAUCAGAAGUGCGAAUGCUGACAUAAGUAACGAUAAAGCGGGUGAAAAGCCCGCUCGCCGGAAGACCAAGGGUUCCUGUCCAACGUUAAUCGGGGCAGGGUGAGUCGACCCCUAAGGCGAGGCCGAAAGGCGUAGUCGAUGGGAAACAGGUUAAUAUUCCUGUACUUGGUGUUACUGCGAAGGGGGGACGGAGAAGGCUAUGUUAGCCGGGCGACGGUUGUCCCGGUUUAAGCAUGUAGGCUGGUUAUCCAGGCAAAUCCGGAUAAUCAAGGCUGAGGUGUGAUGACGAGGCACUACGGUGCUGAAGUAACAAAUGCCCUGCUUCCAGGAAAAGCCUCUAAGCAUCAGGUAACAUCAAAUCGUACCCCAAACCGACACAGGUGGUCAGGUAGAGAAUACCAAGGCGCUUGAGAGAACUCGGGUGAAGGAACUAGGCAAAAUGGUGCCGUAACUUCGGGAGAAGGCACGCUGGUGUGUAGGUGAAGUCCCUGCGGAUGGAGCUGAGACCAGUCGAAGAUACCAGCUGGCUGCAACUGUUUAUUAAAAACACAGCACUGUGCAAACACGAAAGUGGACGUAUACGGUGUGACGCCUGCCCGGUGCCGGAAGGUUAAUUGAUGGGGUUAUCCGUAAGGAGAAGCUCUUGAUCGAAGCCCCGGUAAACGGCGGCCGUAACUAUAACGGUCCUAAGGUAGCGAAAUUCCUUGUCGGGUAAGUUCCGACCUGCACGAAUGGCGUAAUGAUGGCCAGGCUGUCUCCACCCGAGACUCAGUGAAAUUGAACUCGCUGUGAAGAUGCAGUGUACCCGCGGCAAGACGGAAAGACCCCGUGAACCUUUACUAUAGCUUGACACUGAACAUUGAGCCUUGAUGUGUAGGAUAGGUGGGAGGCUUUGAAGCGUGGACGCCAGUCUGCGUGGAGCCAACCUUGAAAUACCACCCUUUAAUGUUUGAUGUUCUAACGUUGGCCCCUUACCGGGGUUGCGGACAGUGUCUGGUGGGUAGUUUGACUGGGGCGGUCUCCUCCCAAAGCGUAACGGAGGAGCACGAAGGUUAGCUAAUCCUGGUCGGACAUCAGGAGGUUAGUGCAAUGGCAUAAGCUAGCUUGACUGCGAGCGUGACGGCGCGAGCAGGUGCGAAAGCAGGUCAUAGUGAUCCGGUGGUUCUGAAUGGAAGGGCCAUCGCUCAACGGAUAAAAGGUACUCCGGGGAUAACAGGCUGAUACCGCCCAAGAGUUCAUAUCGACGGCGGUGUUUGGCACCUCGAUGUCGGCUCAUCACAUCCUGGGGCUGAAGUAGGUCCCAAGGGUAUGGCUGUUCGCCAUUUAAAGUGGUACGCGAGCUGGGUUUAGAACGUCGUGAGACAGUUCGGUCCCUAUCUGCCGUGGGCGCUGGAGAAUUGAGGGGGGCUGCUCCUAGUACGAGAGGACCGGAGUGGACGCAUCACUGGUGUUCGGGUUGUCAUGCCAAUGGCACUGCCCGGUAGCUAAAUGCGGAAGAGAUAAGUGCUGAAAGCAUCUAAGCACGAAACUUGCCCCGAGAUGAGUUCUCCCUGAGACUUUAAGUCUCCUGAAGGAACGUUAAAGACGAUGACGUUGAUAGGCCGGGUGUGUAAGCGCAGCGAUGCGUUGAGCUAACCGGUACUAAUGAACCGUGAGGCUUAACCUUACAACGCCGAAG
rnacentral:rRNA from 2 species